GAUGAACGCUGGCGGCGUGCCUAAUACAUGCAAGUCGAGCGAACAGACGAGGAGCUUGCUCCUCUGGCGUUAGCGGCGGACGGGUGAGUAACACGUGGAUAACCUACCUAUAAGACUGGGAUAACUUCGGGAAACCGGAGCUAAUCCCGGAUAAUAUAUUGAACCGCAUGGUUCAAUAGUGAAAGACGGUUUUGCUGUCACUUAUAGAUGGUUCCGCGCCGCAUUAGCUAGUUGGUAAGGUAACGGCUUACCAAGGCAACGAUGCGUAGCCGACCUGAGAGGGUGAUCGGCCACACUGGAACUGAGACACGGUCCAGACUCCUACGGGAGGCAGCAGUAGGGAAUCUUCCGCAAUGGGCGAAAGCCUGACGGAGCAACGCCGCGUGAGUGAUGAAGGUCUUCGGAUCGUAAAACUCUGUUAUUAGGGAAGAACAAAUGUGUAAGUAACUAUGCACGUCUUGACGGUACCUAAUCAGAAAGCCACGGCUAACUACGUG
rnacentral:rRNA from 1 species